rnacentral:rRNA from 1 species
AGUGAACGCUGGCGGUAGGCCUAACACAUGCAAGUCGAACGGCAGCACAGAGGAGCUUGCUCCUUGGGUGGCGAGUGGCGGACGGGUGAGGAAUACAUCGGAAUCUACUCUGUCGCGGGGGAUAACGUAGGGAAACUUACGCUAAUACCGCAUACGACCUACGGGUGAAAGCAGGGGAUCUUCGGACCUUGCGCGAUUGAAUGAGCCGAGGUCGGAUUAGCUAGUUGGCGGGGUAAAGGCCCACCAAGGCGACGAUCCGUAGCUGGUCUGAGAGGAUGAUCAGCCACACUGGAACUGAGACACGGUCCAGACUCCUACGGGAGGCAGCAGUGGGGAAUAUUGGACAAUGGGCGCAAGCCUGAUCCAGCCAUACCGCGUGGGUGAAGAAGGCCUUCGGGUUGUAAAGCCCUUUUGUUGGGAAAGAAAUCCAUCUGGUUAAUACCCGGGUGGGAUGACGGUACCCAAAGAACAAGCACCGGCUAACUUCGUGCCAGCCGCCGCAGUAA